AGUGAACGCUGGCGGCAUGCCUAACACAUGCAAGUCGAACGGAAACACGGUAAGCGUUUGCUCCUACGGGUGGCGGGGGGCGGACGGGUGAGGAAUGCAUCGCAAACUACUUAUUCGGGGAGGACAACGUGAGGCAAGAGCCAAUAAUACCUAAUAUGUUGUACGGGAGAGAUCAAGGGAUAUUGAGGCCUUGCGCGUCUGAAUUAGCCGAUGUCGGAUUAGCUAGUUGGGGGGGUAAAGGCCCACCAAGGCGACGAUGCGUAGCUGGUCUGAGAGGAUGAUCAGCCACACUGGAACUGAGACACGGUCCAGACUCCUACGGGAGGCAGCAGUGGGGAAUCUUGGGCAAUGGGCGAAAGCCUGAUCGAGCAAUGCCGCGUGAGUGAAGAAGGUCUUCGGGUUGUAAAACGCUUUUGUUAGGAAAGAAAAGAUGUGGGAUAAUACCUGGACGUCUUGACGGUACCUAAAGAAUAAGCACCGGCUAACUACGUG
rnacentral:rRNA from 1 species